rnacentral:lncRNA from 1 species
GCCAGCAGGAAAGCUAACUGUGCCCUUACUGUGCCUGGGCUUCCCUCUAGGUACCUCUGCCUAGAUCUCAAAUAGACAGCUCUCAAGCCCAGCCUCUGGGGGUGGAUGAGUGCCCCCCUCCCCACUUCUCUGCAAGGCCAAGUCAACAAGUGGGAAAUUGUCAUUUAGCUGACAGGGAGAGCUGGGUUGGGGGCUGGGAUGCCCAUGAAAAACUGGCGCUCUUGCCUGGGUGGGAACAUCAGGAAUGUGGGCCACGUCCUUUCCCGACAGCCUGGCCUUCUGUACGUUUCCCAGAAACUCGUUCUGUUUACAUGGAGGGGCCUCUCCAGAGCAGGGGGCCACUCAGAUCCUGUUUGCAGCCCUAACUCAUUUUCUGUCUGGCUCCAGGAACAGGCAUCCUGGAGUGUUGAACGUAUGGCCACGUGGUCAGCCAAGAGAUCCAAGCAAAACCCUCUGCCUUCCCGACUAGAGAUGUCCCUGAAAGACUGCUCUAGGGUUCCCACAGGGCCUCACAUACACCCCACCCAGCAGGCACAGACCCAGGCCCACUUAUGGCUGUUUCCACAGCUGGAGCCUGGGCUGUCCUUCAGAGAACCUUGAGUAGAUCUGCAUGGAGGAGCCCCGCUGGGAAAGUCAGGAAGGGACAAGGGGCAUUAUACAACUCUUCUCUCCCACCUCAUGAAAUGAGGUGACAGAAGGGUGUGGUGUGUGGGAAGAGGAAGGAAGAAGAUGAUGGGGGAGGCAGGGAGACCAAGGUGACAGAGGACUGGCUGCUAAGACCAGAUUGUCCUUUCACACUGUUCCUUGGCAGGAAAAGAAGGCUCUCACAGACAUCUCAGGGAUUGUAGUAUAGCUAAUGGGUGAAUGUAGGAUACCUUGGUCUCCUUGGGGCUUCUGCCUAAGACUAGCAGUGUCCAACCCAACCAAGUCCAUGAGCUUUGUGCAGUAGGGGAUAGCUGUGAGCGUGGCCUAACACAGAACUGUGAGCUUGCUUAAAACUACAUUUCCUUUUACAUUUCCUUUUAAUUUGAUUGCACAGUUGAGUGUGUACUUUGGCAAUGACAGAGCCGUGUCGUAACGUCUGUCCUCUCACCCCUGGGAAAGAGUCCUGGGAUCCCGUGUGGGCAGGAAGAGCAGCAAGGGCCAGAGGAGCUAGGGAUAGCUGAGGCAGAGGAGCCUCGCUGUCCUGGGAAUGUCAGUAUUGCUAGAGCGUUCUUGUGACAGCGGUGUCCCUUUCAGGAGGUGAUAGCUAGGCAAAUUCCCUACUGCCCUUCCUUGAUGCCUCUUUCUUGGGACUCCCUGUGGUCUAGUUGGUGACAAAGAUGACAGAGGCUCUUGAAAUGAGGAAACAGGCUGUUGAGUGGUUAGAAUCCAUUGGUUUCUAAGCACUUCUUGAGCUUUAACUUUGGACCUUUGCCAAGAGAGAAGGCAGGGUGUCACACUGUGAGGUUCAACCUAUUCCAGAUUGCUUCCAGCCCCCAUUUCCUUCUAAAGUUAGUAGCCUCCCUUGGAGAAUCCCAGGGGAAAGGCCUAGCUGGCCAUAUGGUGGAUCACCCAGAGCUGGAGGCUGGUAUCAAGUCUUGGAACUCACUAAGCUCAACAGAUGUAUCUGCAAGGGCAACCUGUAAGGUGAUUCUUGCCUCCUUGGGACCCUCAAAAAGCCAGGUUGUGGUCUCAAUACGAUACGGCAACCAACGCUAUAGUGGUUUCUCCUGGGCUAGAGCUGGGUCAGUAGAGGUUCAACUGUGAGGCUUAGGAUGACAUGGGACUUGAAAGCAACUGUGAAUCCAGUGUGUGUGUGUGUGUGUGUGUGUGUGUGUACAUACAAGCCUACAUGUAUGUGCAGAGAGAUAAAGAUAGUUUGCGGUUUUCAGGAUGGUAUGUAGCCUAGCGUAGUACCUCUAAGCAGUACUAAGAACCCAAGUACCUGCCCCCCCUCUCUGUUUGCACAGCCAAGACCUCAGGUCUGCCUAAACAGGAAAGGAAGCUGAGGCUUCCUUGUUCUGACUGCC